UACGUAGGGUGCAAGCGUUGUCCGGAAUUAUUGGGCGUAAAGAGCUCGUAGGCGGUUUGUCGCGUCGGCUGUGAAAACCUGGGGCUCAACCCCGGGCCUGCAGCCGAUACGGGCAAACUAGAAUUCGGUAGGGGAGACUGGAAUUCCUGGUGUAGCGGUGAAAUGCGCAGAUAUCAGGAGGAACACCGGUGGCGAAGGCGGGUCUCUGGGCCGAUAUUGACGCUGAGGAGCGAAGGCGUGGGGAGCGAACAGG
rnacentral:rRNA from 1 species